ACGGGUGAGUAACACGUAUGCAAUCCACCUGUAACAGGGGGAGUAACCCGGAGAAAUCCGGACUAAUACCCCAUAAUAUGGGCGCUCCGCAUGGAGAGUCCAUUAAAGAGAGCAAUCUUGGUUACAGACGAGCAUGCGCUCCAUUAGCCAGUUGGCGGGGUAACGGCCCACCAAAGCGACGAUGGAUAGGGGUUCUGAGAGGAAGGUCCCCCACAUUGGAACUGAGACACGGUCCAA
rnacentral:rRNA from 1 species